GUUGGGAGGGAAGCGAAUGGAUGCCUUUGUUGCCUGCUGGUUGUGUGCGGAACGGCGUAAAAGCUGGUCUGUCAACCAACUCAGCGGGCUCGCUAGUGUGGGGGUGGAUGCCGGGAUAAAGAUCCCGGGCUCUUUUGCCCGGGAUUGAUGCUGGUGUCCACUCUGUGGCUUGGGUGUGCGCCUUUAUGGCGGGCUUUACGUCCUGCACACCCGGGACGCUGGCGGCUUUAGGUUUUUCAUUCGACCCGUCUUGAAACACGGACCAAGGAGUCUAACAUGUAUGCGAGCCUGCGGGUGUUUACACCUUGCUAGGCGUAAGGAAACUGAUGCGUGGGAUCCCCUUUGUGGGGUGCACCAUCGACCGACCGUGAGCUUUUGCGAAAGGUUCGAGUGAAAGUAUACCUGUUGGGACCCGAAAGAUGGUGAACUAUGCCUGAGCAGGGCGAAGCCAGAGGAAACUCUGGUGGAGGCUCGUAGCGAUACUGACGUGCAAAUCGUUCGUCAGACUUGGGUAUAGGGGCGAAAGACUAAUCGAACCAUCUAGUAGCUGGUUCCCUCCGAAGUAUCCCUCAGGAUAGCUGGAGCUCAUAUUGAGAGUUUUAUCAGGUAAAGCGAAUGAUUAGAGGCAUUGGGGGUGAAACACCCUCGACCUAUUCUCAAACUUUAAAUAGGUAAGGUGUCGGGGUGCUCCGCUGAACCCCGACCUU
rnacentral:rRNA from 1 species